ACAGGGAUUGCCUCAGUAACGGCGAGUGAAGCGGCAUCAGCUCAAAUUUGAAAUCUGGCUCUUUUAGAGUCCGAGUUGUAAUUUGCAGAGGGCGCUUUGGCAUAGGCAGCGAUUCAAGUUCCUUGGAACAGGACGUCACAGAGGGUGAGAAUCCCGUACGUGGUCGCUAGCUCUUGCCGUGUAAAGCCCCUUCGACGAGUCGAGUUGUUUGGGAAUGCAGCUCUAAAUGGGAGGUAAAUUUCUUCUAAAGCUAAAUAUUGGCCAGAGACCGAUAGCGCACAAGUAGAGUGAUCGAAAGAUGAAAAGCACUUUGGAAAGAGAGUCAAACAGCAUGUGAAAUUGUUGAAAGGGAAGCGCUUGCAGCCAGACUUGCCUGUAGUUGCUCAUCCGGGCUCUUGCCCGGUGCACUCUUCUGUAGGCAGGCCAGCAUCAGUUUGGGCGGUUGGAUAAAGGUCUCUGUCAUGUACCUCUCUUCGGGGAGGCCUUAUAGGGGAGGCGACAUACAACCAGCCUAGACUGAGGUCCGCGCAUUCGUGCUAGGAUGCUGGCGUAAUGGCUGUAAGCGGCCCGUCUUGAAACACGGACCAAGGAGUCUAACAUCUAUGCGAGUGUUUGGGUGUCAAGCCCGAGCGCGUAAUGAAAGUGAACGGAGGUGGGAACCCCUCGGGGUGCACCAUCGACCGAUCCUGAUGUCUUCGGAAGGAUUUGAGUAAGAGCAUGGCUGUUGGGACCCGAAAGAUGGUGAACUAUGCUUGAAUAGGGUGAAGCCAGAGGAAACUCUGGUGGAGGCUCGCAGCGGUUCUGACGUGCAAAUCGAUCGUCAAAUUUGGGCAUAGGGGCGAAAGACUAAUC
rnacentral:rRNA from 1 species